rnacentral:rRNA from 1 species
ACCUAGGCGACGAUCCCUAGCUGGUCUGAGAGGAUGACCAGCCACACUGGAACUGAGACACGGUCCAGACUCCUACGGGAGGCAGCAGUGGGGAAUAUUGCACAAUGGGCGCAAGCCUGAUGCAGCCAUGCCGCGUGUAUGAAGAAGGCCUUCGGGUUGUAAAGUACUUUCAGCGGGGAGGAAGGGAGUAAAGUUAAUACCUUU